AGCUUCCUGAAGAGAAGGGUCCAGCCACUUCAAAAACGUGCUCACUCAGGAAGUGAGUACGGAGGUCUGAAGGAUCCAUCACGUAUGUCUGACGAGGACAUAUUUGAUGAUGACGUAGAGGCGCUGCUGGCCAAGUUUUUUAGGAACUAUCAGGGAGUACCGGUAAUCCCUGUAGCCCUUCGUCAGUAUGACGCCUGGUACGAGCCAGAAGUGGUAAGUAUUUUCC
rnacentral:lncRNA from 1 species